AGGGUGCAGGGCGGAUGCCUUGGCACUAGGAGCCGAUGAAGGACGUGAUAAGCUGCGAUAAGCUUCGGGGAGUUGCACGUAAACUUUGAUCCGAAGAUUUCCGAAUGAGGAAACUCACUUAGAGUAAUGUCUAAGUAUCAUUAAGUGAAUACAUAGCUUAAUGAGGGGAACUCAGGGAACUGAAACAUCUAAGUACCUGAAGGAAGAGAAAGAAAUUCGAUUCCGUAAGUAGCGGCGAGCGAACGCGGAUUAGCCCAAACCAAUAAAGUUUUCUUUAUUGGGGUUGCGGACAUAUCAUAACGAAGAGGUAUCGUAAUUGAAGAGGUUUGGAAAGACCCACCACAGAAGGUAAUAGUCCUGUAUGUUAAACGAGAAGACUUCAGAUAUGAUCCAGAGUACCACGGGACACGUGAAACCCUGUGGGAAGCAGGAGGGACCACCCUCCAAGGCUAAAUACUACCUAGUGACCGAUAGCGUAUAGUACCGUGAGGGAAAGGUGAAAAGAACCCCGGGAGGGGAGUGAAAUAGAACCUGAAACCCUGCACUUACAAGCUGUGGAAGCACAUUUCUUGUGUGACCGCGUACUUUUUGUAGAACGGGCCAACGAGUUACGUUAAGUAGCAAGGUUAAGCACUUAAGGUGUGGAGCCGUAGCGAAAGCGAGUUUUAACUGAGCGUUCAGUUACUUGACGUAGACCCGAAACCGGGCGACCUACCCAUGAGCAGGAUGAAGCGAAAGUAAAAUUUCGUGGAGGUCCGAACCCACGAGCGUUGAAAAGCUCGGGGAUGACUUGUGGGUAGCGGUGAAAUUCCAAUCGAGCCCGGAGAUAGCUGGUUCUCCCCGAAAUAGCUUUAGGGCUAGCCUCAAGGUGAGAGAUACGGAGGUAGAGCACUGAAUGUCCUAGGGGGUAUUGCACCUACCGAAGACUAUCAAACUCCGAAUGCCGUCAUCUUAUACUUGGGAGUCAGACUGUGGGUGAUAAGAUUCAUAGUCGAAAGGGCAACAGCCCAGAUCGUCAGCUAAGGUCCCUAAAUGUAAGUUAAGUGGUAAAGGAUGUGGGAUUGCACAGACAACCAGGAUGUUGGCUUAGAAGCAGCCACUCAUUCAAAGAGUGCGUAAUAGCUCACUGGUCGAGUGAUCCUGCGCCGAAGAUUUCCGGGGCUAAAACUUACUACCGAAGCUACGGCAUCAGUAAUGAUGGGUAGGGGAGCUUCCCAUACGGGUUGAAGCAUGACCGUAAGGACAUGUGGACAGUAUGGGAGUGAGAAUGUUGGCAUGAGUAGCGAGAUGUGGGUGAGAAUCCCACAGGCCGUAAACCCAAGGUUUCCAGGGGAAGGUUCGUCCGCCCUGGGUUAGUCGGGACCUAAGCUGAGGCCGAAAGGCGUAGGUGAUGGACAACAGGUUGAUAUUCCUGUACUACCGAUAACCGUUUGAGAGAAGGGAUGACACAGUAGGAUAAGCUAAGCACACUGUUGGUUAUGUGUGCCCAAGCAUUGAGGCAGUCAAAGUAGGCAAAUCCGCUUUGAUAAUGCUGGGAUGUGAUGGGGAGCGAAAUUUAGUAGCGAAGUAGCUGAUUUCACACUGUCAAGAAAAGUCUCUAUCGAGGUUAAAGGUACCCGUACCGCAAACCGACACAGGUGGGUGAGGAGAGUAUCCUAAGGCCAGCGAGAGAACUGUUGUUAAGGAACUCGGCAAAAUGACCCCGUAACUUAGGGAUAAGGGGUGCCACCAUCAGGUGGCCGCAGAGAAUAGGCCCAAGCGACUGUUUACCAAAAACAUAGGUUUCUGCUAAGUCGCAAGACGAUGUAUAGGAGCUGACGCCUGCCCGGUGCUGGAAGGUUAAGGGGAUCUGUUAGAGCAAUCGAAGCAGUGAACUUAAGCCCCAGUAAACGGCGGCCGUAACUAUAACGGUCCUAAGGUAGCGAAAUUCCUUGUCGGGUAAGUUCCGACCCGCACGAAAGGCGUAACGAUUUGGGCACUGUCUCAACAACAGACUCGGUGAAAUUGUAAUUCCGGUGAAGAUGCCGGAUACCUGCGACAGGACGGAAAGACCCCAUGGAGCUUUACUGUAGCUUGACAUUGGGU
rnacentral:rRNA from 1 species